rnacentral:rRNA from 1 species
UUGAACGCUGGCGGCAGGCCUAACACAUGCAAGUCGAACGGUAACAGGAAGCAGCUUGCUGUUUCGCUGACGAGUGGCGGACGGGUGAGUAAUGUCUGGGAAACUGCCUGAUGGAGGGGGAUAACUACUGGAAACGGUAGCUAAUACCGCAUAACGUCGCAAGACCAAAGAGGGGGACCUUCGGGCCUCUUGCCAUCGGAUGUGCCCAGAUGGGAUUAGCUAGUAGGUGGGGUAACGGCUCACCUAGGCGACGAUCCCUAGCUGGUCUGAGAGGAUGACCAGCCACACUGGAACUGAGACACGGUCCAGACUCCUACGGGAGGCAGCAGUGGGGAAUAUUGCACAAUGGGCGCAAGCCUGAUGCAGCCAUGCCGCGUGUAUGAAGAAGGCCUUCGGGUUGUAAAGUACUUUCAGCGGGGAGGAAGGGAGUAAAGUUAAUACCUUUGCUCAUUGACGUUACCCGCAGAAGAAGCACCGGCUAACUCCGUGCCAGCAGCCGCGGUAAUACGGAGGGUGCAAGCGUUAAUCGGAAUUACUGGGCGUAAAGCGCACGCAGGCGGUUUGUUAAGUCAGAUGUGAAAUCCCCGGGCUCAACCUGGGAACUGCAUCUGAUACUGGCAAGCUUGAGUCUCGUAGAGGGGGGUAGAAUUCCAGGUGUAGCGGUGAAAUGCGUAGAGAUCUGGAGGAAUACCGGUGGCGAAGGCGGCCCCCUGGACGAAGACUGACGCUCAGGUGCGAAAGCGUGGGGAGCAAACAGGAUUAGAUACCCUGGUAGUCCACGCCGUAAACGAUGUCGACUUGGAGGUUGUGCCCUUGAGGCGUGGCUUCCGGAGCUAACGCGUUAAGUCGACCGUCUGGGGAGUAAGGCCGCAAGGUUAAAACUCAAAUGAAUUGACGGGGGCCCGCACAAGCGGUGGAGCAUGUGGUUUAAUUCGAUGCAACGCGAAGAACCUUACCUGGUCUUGACAUCCACGGAAGUUUUCAGAGAUGAGAAUGUGCCUUCGGGAACCGUGAGACAGGUGCUGCAUGGCUGUCGUCAGCUCGUGUUGUGAAAUGUUGGGUUAAGUCCCGCAACGAGCGCAACCCUUAUCCUUUGUUGCCAGCGGUCCGGCCGGGAACUCAAAGGAGACUGCCAGUGAUAAACUGGAGGAAGGUGAGGAUGACGUCAAGUCAUCAUGGCCCUUACGACCAGGGCUACACACGUGCUACAAUGGCGCAUACAAAGAGAAGCGACCUCGCGAGAGCAAGCGGACCUCAUAAAGUGCGUCGUAGUCCGGAUUGGAGUCUGCAACUCGACUCCAUGAAGUCGGAAUCGCUAGUAAUCGUGGAUCAGAAUGCCACGGUGAAUACGUUCCCGGGCCUUGUACACACCGCCCGUCACACCAUGGGAGUGGGUUGCAAAAGAAGUAGGUAGCUUAACCUUCGGGAGGGCGCUUACCACUUUGUGAUUCAUGACUGGGGUG